AAGCGGAGGAAAAGAAACCACCAGGGAUUGCCUCAGUAGCGGCGAGUGAAGCGGCAAAAGCUCAAAUUUGAAAUCUGGCGUCUUUGGCGUCCGAGUUGUAAUUUGAAGAAGGUAUCUUUGGGCCCGGCUCUUGUCUAUGUUCCUUGGAACAGGACGUCACAGAGGGUGAGAAUCCCGUGCGAUGAGAUGACCCGGGUCUGUGUAAAGUUCCUUCGACGAGUCGAGUUGUUUGGGAAUGCAGCUCUAAGUGGGUGGUAAAUUCCAUCUAAAGCUAAAUAUUGGCGAGAGACCGAUAGCGAACAAGUACAGUGAUGGAAAGAUGAAAAGAACUUUGAAAAGAGAGUGAAAAAGUACGUGAAAUUGUUGAAAGGGAAGGGCUUGAGAUCAGACUUGGUAUUUUGCAUGCUGCUCUCUCGGGGGCGGCCGCUGCGGUUUACCGGGCCAGCAUCGGUUUGGAGCGGCAGGAUAAUGGCGGAGGAAUGUGGCACGGCUUCUGCUGUGUGUUAUAGCCUCUGACGAUACUGCCAGCCUAGACCGAGGACUGCGGUUUUUACCUAGGAUGUUGGCAUAAUGAUCUUAAGUCGCCCGUCUUGAA
rnacentral:rRNA from 1 species